GAUACCAACCGCCGUUUCUAAACCAAAAUGGAAACCAAGUCUCCUCCCUAUCGAGGGAAGAUGCAAUAAGUCCAGAUCUUCAAUCUUCACAAGGGUGGGUUUAGGCCCAAUGAAUUGAUGGUGUGAUCAUCAAGGCCAAUUUUGACAACGGGUGAUUGUUGGUUGGUUACGGUGGAAAAUUCUACCGUGUUGAAUUGGUGGGGUUGAUCAACCCGACCACAAGCCCUCUAUCCUGAUCGCUACAAACACAAAGAUGAACAAGAACAGCCUUGUGAUUCCCAUACAUAUCAUCGUACUUUCCAGUUGAAAUACCUGAGAAAAA